GUAAGGUCAGCUAACAAAGCUAUCGGGCCCAUACCCCGAAAAUGAUGGUU
rnacentral:tRNA from 1 species